rnacentral:rRNA from 1 species
CCGCACGGGUGAGUAACGCGUAUGCAACUUACCUAUCAGGAGGGGGAUAACCGGCGAAAGUCGGACUAAUACCGCAUGAAGCAGGGGCCCCGCAUGGGGAUAUUUGCUAAAGAUUCAUCGCUGAUAGAUAGGCAUGCGUUCCAUUAGGCAGUUGGCGGGGUAACGGCCCACCAAGCCGACGAUGGAUAGGGGUUCUGAGAGGAAGGUCCCCCACAUUGGUACUGAGACACGGACCAA